AUUGAACGCUGGCGGCAUGCUUUACACAUGCAAGUCGAACGGCAGCGGGGGCUUCGGCCUGCCGGCGAGUGGCGAACGGGUGAGUAAUGCAUCGGAACGUGCCCAUGUCGUGGGGGAUAACGUAGCGAAAGCUACGCUAAUACCGCAUACGUCCUGAGGGAGAAAGCGGGGGGAUCUUUGGACCUCGCGCGAUUGGAGCGGCCGAUGUCGGAUUAGCUAGUAGGUGAGGUAAAGGCUCACCUAGGCGACGAUCCGUAGCGGGUCUGAGAGGAUGAUCCGCCACACUGGGACUGAGACACGGCCCAGACUCCUACGGGAGGCAGCAGUGGGGAAUUUUGGACAAUGGGGGCAACCCUGAUCCAGCCAUGCCGCGUGAGUGAAGAAGGCCUCGGUUGUAA
rnacentral:rRNA from 1 species